UACGGAGGGUGCAAGCGUUAUCCGGAUUUACUGGGUUUAAAGGGUGCGCAGGCGGCUAUGUAAGUCAGUGGUGAAAUCUUCCCGCUUAACGGGAAAACUGCCAUUGAUACUAUAUAUCUUGAAUGCUGUGGAGGUAAGCAGAAUAUGUCAUGUAGCGGUGAAAUGCUUAGAGAUGACAUAGAAUACCUAUUGCGAAGGCAGCUUACUACGCAGAUAUUGACGCUCAUGCACGAAAGCGUGGGGAUCAAACAGG
rnacentral:rRNA from 1 species